AUAAGCCUCAUCAUCAUCCGUAUCAUCAUCAGAUUUGAAUUGAACAUCUUCAAACUCAACAGGUUUUAUAUUUGUUAUGACUGAAACAUCAACGCUUGAUCCUUCGUCAUCAUUUCUACUCCAACUAGUGAUCUCUUCAGGAGAGGGACGGCUGACCAGGGGAGAGCUUCUGCAGGGCGUUCCACUCAUGCGCACGGGAGUCCCGGGCAGCCGACCAGGAUGGAGGAAGAGCCGGAGCAGAGCCGGUUGGCGCCGGAGUUCCUACGUCAGGCGAUCCAACCAUGCGCCCACUGGCAGGAUCGAGCAGCAGAGAUCCAGGGAAGAGAAGGCCGAAGGGCAGAAGGCGCCGAGCAAAGGGUGCCGGAUCAAGGUUAGAGGGAGAGGGGAGCGUUAGGGUGGUGCCACCACGGGCUGCUUCGUCGCGCAGCCAUGGUGUGGCUGCUGGAUCUGGGAUAGUUGAUUUAUUUGGGGUAGUACUUUUGAGGAUCUGGGAUAGUUGAUUUAUUUGGGGUAGUACUUUUGAUGAUCCGGGAUAUGUUUUUUUUUAACGUGUAUGAUUAAGAAACAUGCAUGCGUAAGAUUCCAAUAUUGCAAGGCCAGCAAAUUGUUUUUUU